UACGUAGGGUGCGAGCGUUGUCCGGAAUUAUUGGGCGUAAAGAGCUUGUAGGCGGUUUGUCGCGUCUGCUGUGAAAAUCCGGGGCUCAACCCCGGACUUGCAGUGGGUACGGACAGACUAGAGUGUGGUAGGGGAGACUGGAAUUCCUGGUGUAGCGGUGAAAUGCGCAGAUAUCAGGAGGAACACCGAUGGCGGAAGGCAGGUCUCUGGGACCACUACUGGACGCUGAGAAGCGAAAGCAUGGGGGAGCGA
rnacentral:rRNA from 1 species